ACGCUCGACACCUACUGGAGGCAGCAGUCGGGAAUAUUGCGCAAUGGAGGAAACUCUGACGCAGUGACGCCGCGUGCAGGAAGAAGGUUUUCGGAUUGUAAACUGCUUUAGACAGGGAAGAAAGAAAUGACAGUACCUGUAGAAUAAGCUCCGGCUAACUACGUGCCAGCAGCCACGGUAAUCUGAGCGGGCUGGCAAGGC
rnacentral:rRNA from 1 species